rnacentral:rRNA from 1 species
GUUAUAGUGGAAGCGGAUGGAGCCGACGUAUCCAGUGCGUAUUCAGCCGUUGGCGGSUGUGAUCUGUCUGUUUGGGGUUCUGCAAAGUCUCCGGCAGGCACCGUUGCRUUCGUUGGCGGUGCACUUGCGUACAGAGUGCGCCGAAUCGGUCGAGCGCGCUGUUUGAAGACCGGCAAGAGGACACCUUGUGUGAAACCUGGCCGGUCGGAUGGCGGAUGUGCUYGGCUGUUUGAAAGGAGCUGGUUAUUCGUGGGGCCGUGCCUGCAUUGUGGUCUUUUGGAGGUGACACAUGUGUUCUCUCCUUACGACUGCGGUGCAGGCGCGGCUUUGCCCGGCUUUCCAUUCGGUGUCUAGUCGGUCACCCAUUUGACCCGUCUUGAAACACGGACCAAGGAGUUUAAGGUAUGCGCAAGUCAUUGAGCUUAAUGAAACUCAAAGGCGCAAUGAAAGUGGGCCACUCAGUGGCUGCGAUGUGAGKCUGUGGCGACUCGUCGACGCGGACGCAACAUCAACCCAUGACUGGAACUUGUUCUGUUGUGGAGUUCGAGCGUAUGCUUUGAGACCCGAAAGAUGGUGAACUAUGCCUGAACAGGACGAAGUCAGAGGAAACUCUGAUGGAAGUCCGAAGCGGUUCUGACGUGCAAAUCGAUCGUCUG